rnacentral:rRNA from 1 species
CAGCCGCCGCGGUAAUACGUAGGGUGCAAGCGUUAAUCGGAAUUACUGGGCGUAAAGCGUGCGCAGGCGGUUAUAUAAGACAGAUGUGAAAUCCCCGGGCUCAACCUGGGAACUGCAUUUGUGACUGUAUAGCUAGAGUACGGCAGAGGGGGAUGGAAUUCCGCGUGUAGCAGUGAAAUGCGUAGAUAUGCGGAGGAACACCGAUGGCGAAGGCAAUCCCCUGGGCCUGUACUGACGCUCAUGCACGAAAGCGUGGGGAGCAAACAGGAUUAGAUACCCGCGUAGUCCCUGUCUCUUAUAC